GCUUGGUGACUAUAGAUACCUGCUCCUGUCAGUUUAGCUGGUUUGCAUCAGCUGACUAUUGUGCUGUGCAAAUCCAUGCAAAACUGACUGUGGCUGGGAAGGCUCUCUGGAAUUGCU
rnacentral:pre_miRNA from 14 species